rnacentral:rRNA from 1 species
ACUCCUACGGGAGGCAGCAGUGGGAAUAUUGCACAAUGGGGGAAACCCUGAUGCAGCCAUGCCGCGUGUGUGAAGAAGGCCUUCGGGUUGUAAAGCACUUUCAGUAGGGAGGAAGGUAGUGUAGUUAACACCUGCAUUAUUUGACGUUACCUACAGAAGAAGCACCGGCUAACUCCGUGCCAGCAGCCGCGGUGAUACGUAGGGUGCGAGCGUUGUCCGGAUUUAUUGGGCGUAAAGGGCUCGUAGGUGGUUGAUCGCGUCGGAAGUGUAAUCUUGGGGCUUAACCCUGAGCGUGCUUUCGAUACGGGUUGACUUGAGGAAGGUAGGGGAGAAUGGAAUUCCUGGUGGAGCGGUGGAAUGCGCAGAUAUCAGGAGGAACACCAGUGGCGAAGGCGGUUCUCUGGGCCUUUCCUGACGCUGAGGAGCGAAAGCGUGGGGAGCGAACAGGCUUAGAUACCCUGGUAGGCUCU